UUACGGCCACAUCACAUUGAAAUAUUAGUUCCUGUGCGUUCACCGAAGUUAAGCAACAUCGAGCAUGGUAAGUACUUAGAUGGGUGACCGCUUGGGAAUACCAGGUUCUGUAAG